GGUUAGGGUUAGGGUUAGGGGGUUAGGGUUAGGGUUAGGGGGUUAGGGUUAGGGUUAAGGUUAGGGUUAGGGGCCAGGGUAGGCGCUAACCUGUAUGCACUGUCCAUCUAAUGUCGCUCACUCCACUGGGUUUCACCCCCAUGUCAGCCGGUCCAUUCCCACCAUUCUUUUUCUCUUUUGUUUUUUUCUCCAGUUCCCUCGGACUCAGUGAGUAUAUUUUCGGGGUCAUGUCGUGUGAGCAUGCCGUGUGUCAUUUUUCUUGUGCCUCCCGGUGGGAUUGAGUCUUUGUUGAGCCUGUCGGGCUGUAGUGGAGUGACCCGGAUUCCCCUUCGUGCGUCGGAACUGGCCCGUUCGCGGUCCCUGAUAGGGAUAGGAUGAUUUUCCUGUCUGGUACAGGAGUUUGGGCGGACGCUGGAGCGUGUCGUACUCGCGGGGAGGCCGGGCAGUUAAGAGAAAUGUCCGGAAGGCUGCCCGCGUCCUCGUGGUCGACGGAGGACACAUCGCUCUGAGGGUCAGUCAUCGUGGACCUCGUUUGUUUUCUCUGCGGGGCGG
ensembl:lncRNA